UCUAUAUAAACUUUACGUCGUGUCUAUAGCCCUAUAGGCUAUUUAUUUCCUUUUUUCACUUCAUAACAUCACUUAUCAUAUAAUGGAGAACAUUUUUCUGAUCAACAUUAUCAUUAUGAUUGUCCUUUUAACUGGAAAUAUCUGCCCAGGAAAUAAACCCACCAAGUUUGGUGAACAUCAAUAAAUACAUUGUCCUAGCUUCAACUACGAAUGUUAUAAAUUGGAUGGUUUUUUUUUUUAGGCAAUUUUUUAAACGAUUGUGUAUGAUAAUUACAGUUGAUGUGAAGAAAGGUACCAGGUGUCUUACCAGUCUUACCAGUGUAGCAAGUGGGCAGCCGGAGAUUGUCUGAGUUUACAUUGGACUCAGUGAGAUAGGAGCUAACAGCUAAGUGCUAACGCCCGGAGAGCUGCAUGUAUUUACCCGCUUCGGCGGAGAACUUGUGGAUGACGUUGGUCGGACCCAUGUUGUGAAGAGGCAGCCUCGGAAACGGCCCUGUGCUCCGUAUCGAGAUCCGUAUGUAAAUCCUGGGAAUCAAACUUUCACCAACUCAGCUCUUAUUCUCUGAGCCUCAGCUGCUUUCAUUGGCGAGUGCAGUGUUGCCAACUCCUCAGCAAGGAAAGUAGCUAUUGGCUGUCCUAAAAGUCACUAGACAUCGCCUAAUUUGCAUAAUGUAAUGGUCGCUAAAAGACGUACAGAAAGUGAGAAAAAACACCCUAAAUAUGUUUAGAACUUAAAAUAAGCUUUCUUCUACAGAAGCAUAUUACAUUCACUUCACAAAAAAAUUAUUCUGUUUUUCUGGGAUAAUUAUCUCAGAAAUUCCGAGACAAAUGCCCCAAAAAAUGAAAAAUUCAAGUGAAUGCAAUACGCUUCCGUAUUCUUCUUUUGAUUCUUUUUUUUUUUCUUGACAUUGAAAUAGGCCAUCACUUCUCAAAAUAACUUCAUGACUUUAAUGCUUUAUCUAGACCCACAUACAUUAAUCGAAUUUGUCCUGUAUUGUUAAAUGUUAGAAUAUCAAAUUUUAUCAAAAGGCUGUUAUAUGGCGCUCAUCAUGGUGCGCUGCACCAUGAUGUGCGCCACAUUAUCCUGCGGCGCACUUCAUCCUGCCGCGCACCUCAUCGUGUACGAUGAUGUCCGCCGCAGGAUGAUGUGCGCAGGCAUGAUUAUGUGCGCUGCAGGAUGAAGUGCGCUGUAGGAUGAUGUGCGCAGCAGGAUGAUAUGUGGUGAUGAUGAUAUGCGCCGUGAUGAUGUGCACCGCAGGAUGAAGUGCGCCGAUGAUGUGAGGUGAUGUCAUGCGCCGCAGGAUGAUGUGUGGCGUGAUGAUGUGCGCCAGGAUGAUGUGCGCCGAUGAUGUGAGGUAAUGAUGAUUUGCGCAGCAGGAUGAGGUGCGAACAGGAUGAUGUGCGCCACACAUCAUGUGCGGUGAUGAUGUGCGCCGAUGUGCUCCCCAGUAUGAUGUGCGCCACAAGAAGAUGUGCACUCUAGGAUGAUGUGUGCUGUAGGAUGAUGUGCGCCACAGGAUGAAGUGCGCUGUAGGAUGAUGUGCGCUGCAGGAUGAUGUCCGCCGCAGGACAAUGUCCGCCGAUGUGCGCCCCAGGAUGAUGUGCGCAGCAAGAUGAUGUGCGCAGCAAGAUGAUGUGCGCUGUAUGAUGAUGUGCGCCGAUGUGCGCGCAGGCAUAAUGCAACACGGUCUCACGGCAUUUUGUGAAACUGUCACGAAAAUAAUGUAUCAGAUUCGUGCUCCCUGCCACGAUCUCCCUGACAAAGUCGUGCUGCUCAUCACGACUUUAAAAUGAAUGCAUUUCUAUGGGAAGCAUCUUUCCUGCUGGUGACACGUACAGCUGUGGUCUGAGCGUUUCCGCAUUUCUCAUGCUUGCGCCGCGUAGUUUACAGCUCUGAGGUUUGGUUUUGAUGAUCGCAUUUAUGUGAUUUUAAUGUCCCAUAUAUUGUCUUUCUGUAAUGAAUAUGUCACGGAAGCGCGAUGUUUUCAUGCGUAGGCGGCACAUGAGCGUUGUUCGUGGUGAUUCUUUCGGGUCAAAAUAAAAUAAAAGUAUACUCCUGAUCAUUGACGAUACUGCAGAGUUGUGUGGUGGCCAUCGCGAAGGAAUAUUUCUGCUUCUUUUCCGAGAAAAAUCGUAAUUUCAUUGGAUUGUUGCGGCAAUUUACACUACUGUUCCCAUGAGUCUCAGCGACCGUUGCUAUGGUGACGACGCCAGCUUUUAGUAUAACGUUUUCUUUUGCCGCUGGGUGGUUAUCGUCAGUGGCGAAAUACUGCCCUGUAGCAGUUAUAUUGAAAUGCAAAGAAGUGUACAAUUCAAAAUCUGCCUGCAACAAACAGCACAGGAAACAGAAUUUGAAGCCUUCUGAUUGGCUGAACUGGCCCAACUAUGUAAGCCAAUAUUCAGUGAACAUCAUUUGUACGUUUUAUUUGCACCUUCUUAAGUCAGCACAGUUAGAAAGUAAAGCUUUUAUAUCAGGAUAAGCUAUAUUUUACUGUAAAAUUAUUAUACGACGCGCGCAGCAUCACCUGCAGGCGACGGCGCGUUUCCGGCGGAGAUCGGCUCAUCGGGUAAGUUGGGUUCCUGCUGCCUGUGUGCCUGAAAUGUCAUUAAUGAUGCCGUUCGUUGCCUUGACAUGCUUAGUUUAUACAUAAGGCCAAUGAGCCAAAGCCUGGUCGAUAGUUUGGACUUUGUCAGCAACAUAAAUUUUAUUUUUCACGGUGAAAAUAGGUUUGCUAGCUAACUUACGAUCAACAUAAGCUAGCGCAAUGCUUCAUUUCCAUCAGCUGAAAGGUAGAAUCGAUAAAAAAAAAACAUCAACCUUUUUAAAUAGUAGAAUGUGACUGUGGUACAGUUGCCAGUCUCUUACUGUAAUUACUGAAGACGCCACGGAAAACUACAAUUCCUUCAUUCGGAUACACAUUUUAAACCUAUCAAUAUUAAUAUAGGCACAACUGUGUAGUAAACAAUUACAUGUAGGUUAAUCAAGAUUACAUUUUCGGAUUACAAAAGAAUAAUAUAACAAUAACAAUAUGCUAAAUGCCUAUUAUUAUAGCCACUGAAAAUGUUUUGAGAUGUUUACAUUUAUUUUGAAUUAUAUGAAUGGAUUUUUUUUGUAUUUGGUUACUACAUUAACUUUCUUUGUUCUCUCUGCAGAUACAUCCAACCAACAGAGAAGUCAUCCUACACCCACACCACAAAAAAAACAACUUUUAAGAGCCAAUCUCUUUAUCUUUACCACUGUCUAUCUCUCAACCUGUUUGUCUGUCUAGCCCUGUCUGUCUCUGUCUCCUAUACAGAAUCAGUUUGUAUAUUUGUAUUACUUGUCUGUCUGUCUCUCUGACGGUAUCUGUCUGUGUUACAAUGUCUUACAGACAUACCAUUGACCGAAAUAGUCCCCACUUCAAAGAUGGGAGACUCAUAGCUACUGAAAUUGCUUUUGACCAGGCUUUAGCUGAAGCCCGGAGAGCAUCUGAGGAGCGGAAAAGAGCACAGCCUAAAGGAGACCCUCCACAGACCUCUAAAAGGGCAGGACGAGGCAAGCCCAGGGGGAGGCGUGGAGGGCGACAUCGAGCCUCAGCCUCAGCUGGGUGCCCCCCGUCAUCCAGUGUGGAGGUUCCAUGUACUGAACCCUCAGCACAACUAAAUCCUCAAGAGAAGUUUGAAAAAACUAUGGAGAUGCUCCGUACUUUUUUAGCCUCAUGUCCGUCUGCUGACCCUCAAAGACACUCUGCGUCAUCGUGGUCUUUCCGGCAGCAGAAAGCCUCAGAGCGCUGGAAAGAAGUGCAGAGAAUGUCUACCUGAGGAGUGGUUCUGUGGGGACUGUGAUGUACUGCAUCACAAAAAACAACCGCUCCACAACAGGGAAGCUGCGAUUGAUGGGUUUUUUAAAGCCAUUCCUCCAACCACAUGCAUCAUGAGAGGGGAGGGUGGAUAUUGCACCCAUAAGCAAGCAUGCAUUUUGCCAACUGUCAAGGUGCAAAGCUGCUCGUGUGAAGGCACAAACUUCACUGUGUCUCCAGGCAAACCAGUGAUUUUAAUCACCAUCAAUGGGCGUUAUGACUUGCACCAGCCAUUAUAUGUGUGUGCAUCGUGUCAGCAGCAGUGGACCCCCGACUUAAAAGACCUCCUUAAGAGUGGAUAUUGGCCGGCAACUGUCAACACAGCAACACUGUACACGUUGGACCUCCUUAGCUCCUUUCAGGAACUCAAGGUUAUCGCUCCAGGAUUCUCCAGACAGGCUUUUGCUAAGCUGCUGGAGCAUCGCACAAAGUGUGGCGGAAGAUCUGGACAUAUCAGUGGCGAUGCACUGCAGCGUAGCUUCUUGGAGUUUUCAUAUGCUUCAUUUGAGGAAGAGCAGCUCUGCUGUGGUAAACCUUUCACCUGCCCAGCAUGCACAACAGAAAUGCUGGCUGUUGCGGCAGAUGGGAACAGGAAGCUAUAUCGCUUUCGCCGAAGUGGAAGCUCUGCUGACCCGGGUUUUUUUGAGGGGCUUUAGUGGCUAAAGACGGUGCAGUGUCUGAAUUUGUGGACACCGUGCGGAGAUCAGUGAAAAAUGCA